rnacentral:lncRNA from 1 species
CAUUACUCAGCUUUAAAAAUAUUAAAACAUUCAUUCAUUUAUUCUAAAUAAGCACCUUCCCUGUGAUCUUUCUAUGUAUUUGGGUAUUUAGAGACUGGAUUCAAGACAGUAUGAGGCAGCAGAAAGUUUUCUGGUAAACAGGAAAAAAGUUCUGGACCGUUUCCUUGGUGUCAGGAUGCACAGGAUGCAGGUGACAGAAGCAGCCAAAGAACUGGUGUGUGCAGGACCAGAUCCAUUCACAUCUGAGCUUUGCUGUGCCCAUUUAUUGGUGUUCCAGGUGAAUUAGGAUUUGUGUCUGCUCUUCAGUUUAAAGUGGACACACAUUUGUUGGCAGUCCUCCCAUCCCUGUAAUGGAUGUGGCCACUUACUGCAGCUGCUGACAGCACCAUCAAGGGAAGUGUGGAGCCACGAGGCUUCUGUAUCUUCACAAGUCCUAGCAGGUAAGUUCUUCAUUCCCCUCUCCCUUCCCAGAUGAUGCACAUGCAUCAUAUUUCCUUGAAAUAAGUAUUUCCAUGAAGGCCGAAGAUGUUAAU